AAAAAAUUUAAUUUUAGUUAAAAUAUUAAGUUAAAUUUUAUGUUAUAUGUAAAUUUUAGUGAUUUAAAAUUUUAAUAAAUAAAUAAAUAAGCAAUAAUAAAUAUUAAAAAUUAAAUAAAUUUAGAUUUAGUAAAAAUUAUAAUUUUAACAAAAAUUGUGCCAGCAGUUGCGGUUAUACAAUUAAAAUAAUUUAAUAUUAAUAAAUAAAAUUAUAUUAAAAUUAAAAUAAAUAAAUAAAAAUAAUAAGGUGAAAUAAUUAUUUUUUUUAAUAGAAUAAAUUAAUUAAAUUUAGAUAUAUUUUAAAUAAACUAGGAUUAGAUACCCUAUUAUUGAAUAUGAAAUAAAAAAUUUAUAUUAGUAUUAGUUAAAAUCUUAAAAAUAAAAAAAUUUGGCGGUAAUUUAGUCUUUUUAGAGGAACCUGUUCUAUAAUUGAUAAUCCACAAUUUAAAUUACUUAUUUUAUAAAUUUGUAUAUCGUUGUAUAAGAGUAUUUUUAAAAAAUUAUAAUAUUCAAUAUAUAAAAAAUUAUGGUAAUUCAAAUCAAGGUGCAGUUAAUAUAUAAGAAGAAAUGGGUUACUAUUUAUAAAAUUUGGAAUAAAAAUUGAAAAUUUUUAUAAAAUUGGAUUUAAAAGUAAUUUUUUUAAAUUAAAAAAAAUGAUUUAAGCUCUAAAUUAUGUACAUAUUGCCCGUCGCUUUCAUUAAAAUGAAAUAAGUCGUAACAAAGUAGAUUUACUGGAAAGUGAAUCUAGAGUCAA
rnacentral:ncRNA from 1 species